rnacentral:rRNA from 5 species
AGACCCGAAACCCGGUGAUCUAGCCAUGGGCAGGUUGAAGGUUGGGUAACACUAACUGGAGGACCGAACCGACUAAUGUUGAAAAAUUAGCGGAUGACCUGUGGCUGGGGGUGAAAGGCCAAUCAAACCGGGAGAUAGCUGGUUCUCCCCGAAAGCUAUUUAGGUAGCGCCUCGUGAAUUCAUCUCCGGGGGUAGAGCACUGUUUCGGCUAGGGGGCCAUCCCGGCUUACCAACCCGAUGCAAACUGCGAAUACCGGAGAAUGUUAUCACGGGAGACACACGGCGGGUGCUAACGUCCGUCGUGAAGAGGGAAACAACCCAGACCGCCAGCUAAGGUCCCAAAGUCAUGGUUAAGUGGGAAACGAUGUGGGAAGGCCCAGACAGCCAGGAUGUUGGCUUAGAAGCAGCCAUCAUUUAAAGAAAGCGUAAUAGCUCACUGGUCGAGUCGGCCUGCGCGGAAGAUGUAACGGGGCUAAACCAUGCACCGAAGCUGCGGCAGCGAACGUAUCACCCAAGACAACUUUACGGAGUUGACGAUUGACGGAGCGAAGCGACGUCAAAGCGUUCAUUAAAGUCGAGUUGGCUUAGGGAUACGUUCGUUGGGUAGGGGAGCGUUCUGUAAGCCUGUGAAGGUGUGUCGUGAGGCAUGCUGGAGGUAUCAGAAGUGCGAAUGCUGACAUAAGUAACGAUAAAGCGGGUGAAAAGCCCGCUCGCCGGAAGACCAAGGGUUCCUGUCCAACGUUAAUCGGGGCAGGGUGAGUCGACCCCUAA